AGAGUUUGAUCCUGGCUCAGGACGAACGCUGGCGGCGUGCCUAAUACAUGCAGGUCGAGCGAAGUUAAGGGAGCUUGCUCCCAAGACUUAGCGGCGGACGGGUGAGUAACACGUGGGUAACCUGCCUGUAAGACCGGGAUAACUCCGGGAAACCGGAGCUAAUACCAGAUAAUCAACUUAGUUGCAUAACAAAGUUGUGAAAGAUGGCGCAAGCUAUCACUUACAGAUGGGCCCGCGGCGCAUUAGCUAGUUGGUAGGGUAAAGGCCUACCAAGGCAACAAUGCGUAGCCGACCUGAGAGGGUGAUCGGCCACACUGGGACUGAGACACGGCCCA
rnacentral:rRNA from 1 species